UACGUAGGGGGCAAGCGUUGUCCGGAUUUAUUGGGCGGAAAGAGCGUGUAGGCGGUCAGGUAGGUCCGUUGUGAAAACUCGAGGCUCAACCUCGAGACGCCGAUGGAAACCAUCUGACUAGAGUCCGGAAGAGGAGAGUGGAAUUCCUGGUGUAGCGGUGAAAUGCGCAGAUAUCAGGAAGAACACCCGUGGCUAAGGCGGCUCUCUAGUACGGUACUGACGCUGAGACGCGAAAGCGUGGGGAGCGAACAGG
rnacentral:rRNA from 1 species